AGGACGAACGCUGGCGGCGUGCUUAACACAUGCAAGUGGAGCGACGAACCAGGGCUUGCCCUGGGGCAGAGCCGCGAACGGGUGAGUAACACGUGGGUUACCUGCCUCGAUGACCGGGACAACCCGAGGAAACUCGGGCUAAUACCGGAUGUGCCCGCAAGGGGAAAGGAAGCUUCGGCCUCCGCAUCGAGAUGGGCCCGCGGCCCAUUAGCUUGUUGGUGAGGUAACGGCUCACCAAGGCUUCGAUGGGUAGCUGGUCUGAGAGGACGAUCAGCCACACUGGGACUGAGACACGGCCCAGACUCCUACGGGAGGCAGCAGUGGGGAAUCUUGCGCAAUGCGCGAAAGCGUGACGCAGCAACGCCGCGUGGGGGAAGAAGGCUUUCGGGUUGUAAACCCCUUUCAGUUGGGACGAAGCUUCGACGGUGAAUAGCCGGACGGAGUGACGGUACCUUCACAAGAAGCACCGGCUAACUACGUGCCAGCAGCCGCGGU
rnacentral:rRNA from 1 species